rnacentral:rRNA from 1 species
UCGCCUGUUUAACAAAAACAUGUCUCUGUGAAGGUCUACACAGUCUGGCCUGCCCACUGAACUAUUAAAGGGCCGCGGUAUCUCUGACCGUGCGAAGGUAGCAUAAUCAUUAGUCUUUUAAUUGGAGGCUCGUAUGAAAGGUCGAACGAGUGAUAAACUGUCUUAAUAAAAAAAAUCGAAAUUAACUUUAAAGUGAAAAGGCUUUAAUAUACUAGAAAGACGAUAAGACCCUAUAAAUCUUUACACUAACACUUAGUAUUAGGCCAAUUUGUUUGUUUAAGGAAAAAUACUAAAAAAGUGUUUUGUUGGGGC